AUUGCUUCUCAGCCUUUUGGCUAAGAUCAAGUGUAGAAUAUAUCCUCAUCAUUAAGUGAUACAUGACUGUAACUCGGGAGCAAUUAAUUGCCUUAUAUAUGUGAAUAGUUAAGUAUGAAAGUACACAUUUGGAUAUGCCGUUUUCUUCUCGUAUUCUCAGGGAAAUGUGUCUUGCUUUU
rnacentral:snRNA from 1 species